AGUGAACGCUGGCGGUAGGCCUAACACAUGCAAGUCGAACGGCAGCACAGUAAGAGCUUGCUCUUACGGGUGGCGAGUGGCGGACGGGUGAGGAAUACAUCGGAAUCUACUUUUUCGUGGGGGACAACGUAGGGAAACUUACGCUAAUACCGCAUACGAUCUACGGGUGAAAGCAGGGGAUCUUCGGAGCUUGCGUGACAGAAUGAGACGAUGCCGGAUUAGCUAGUUGGGGGGGUAAAGGCCCACCAAGGCAACGAUCCGUAGCUGGUCUGAGAGGAUGAUCAGCCACACUGGAACUGAGACACGGUCCAGACUCCUACGGGAGGCAGCAGUGGGGAAUAUUGGACAAUGGGCGCAAGCCUGAUCCAGCCAUACCGCGUGAGUGAUGAAGGCCUUCGGGUUGUAAAGCCCUGUUGUUGGGAAAGAAAAGCAGCAGGUUAAUACCCCGCUGUUCUGACGGUACCCAAAGAAUAAGCACCGGCUAACUUCGUG
rnacentral:rRNA from 1 species